rnacentral:rRNA from 1 species
CCUACGGGUGGCAGCAGUGAGGAAUAUUGGUCAAUGGGCGCGAGCCUGAACCAGCCAAGUAGCGUGAAGGAUGACUGCCCUACGGGUUGUAAACUUCUUUUAUAAAGGAAUAAAGUGAGGCACGUGUGCCUUUUUGUAUGUACUUUAUGAAUAAGGAUCGGCUAACCCCGUGCCAGCAGCCGCGGUACUACGGAGGAUCCGAGCGUUACCCGGAUUUAUUGGGUUGAAAGGGAGCGUAGGUGGGUUGUUAAGUCAGGUGUGAAAGUUUGGGGCUCAACCGUAGAAUUGCAAUUGAUACUGGCAGUCUGGAGUACAGUUGAGGUAGGCGGAAUUCGUGGUGUAGCGGUGAAAUGCUUAGAUAUCACGAAGAACUCCGAUUGCGAAGGCAGCUUACUAGACUGCCACUGACGUUGAUGCUCGAAAGUGUGGGUAUCAAACAGGAUUAGAUACCCUAGUAGUC